AUUGAACGCUGGCGGCAUGCUUUACACAUGCAAGUCGAACGGCAGCACGGGGGCAACCCUGGUGGCGAGUGGCGAACGGGUGAGUAACACAUCGGAACGUGUCCAGUUGUGGGGGAUAACCCAUCGAAAGGUGGGCUAAUACCGCAUGAUCUGGCAACAGCAAAGCAGGGGACUCGAAAGGGCCUUGUGCGAUUGGAGCGGCCGAUGUCCGAUUAGCUAGUUGGUGGGGUAAAGGCCCACCAAGGCGACGAUCGGUAGCUGGACUGAGAGGAUGAUCAGCCACACUGGGACUGAGACACGGCCCAGACUCCUACGGAGGCAGCAGUGGGGAAUUUUGGACAAUGGGGGCAACCCUGAUCCAGCCAUGCCGCGUGAGUGAAGAAGGCCUUCGGGUUGUUAAAGG
rnacentral:rRNA from 1 species